UAAACGGUUUUUAUUAAAACCAUCAUUAUUUUAAAAAGGAGGUUGU
rfam:Citrus clementina cultivar Clemenules unplaced genomic scaffold scaffold_1, whole genome shotgun sequence.